CCGCCCGGUCCUAUCCAAAAACGGCGGGCAACUUCCUCCUCCCGCUUCGCUUCCUCCCCAGCCCCCAUCACCGGCAAGGCUGCAACCUCCUGCCCUCGUCCUGAUGCUUCGCCUCUCCACCACCGGCCUCACCUCACCUCUCCUCCCCACGCCCGCCCCCGCCGUCCGGCUCCGCCCGCGCCCCCUCAUCCGCCUCCGCCUCCGCGCCCUCGCCGCCGGCGCUGCCUCCUCGCUCUCGCCGUCCGCCCGCAGCCUCCGCCUCCUCGAGUGGGGCAAGGUAUGCGACGCCGUCGCCUCCUUCGCCGGCACCGCCCACGGCCGCGACGCCACCAAGAAACAACUGUGGGAGGUGGAGGGCGUGAGCUAUGAGCAGAGCCAGAGGCUGCUCCAGGAGACGGAGGUGGCAGUGUGGCUGCUUGACAACGCCGGUGGGGCGAUGGAUUUCUCUGGGCUGGAUACAGUUGCGAUAGAGUCGGCAAUACAUUGUGUUUCUGGAGGUGCCGUGAUAAAAGGCCUGGAAGCAGUGGCAGUUGCUAGCCUGAUGCUGUUUGUUGAAUCCUUGCAAGUAAAUAUUAAAGCUGCCAUGAAGCUGGAUGAAGGCUCGUGUAGUCGAUUAACAACUCUUACAGAAACAAUUUUAGAUGCUGCCAUUAACAAGUCACUUGUGAAAUCCAUACAAGAUAUCGUUGAUGAUGAUGGUUCUGUAAAAGAUACUGCGAGCCCUGAGCUAAGGCGGCAUAGAGAGCGAGUUCAGCUCCUAGAGAGCAGGUUAUACCAGCUUAUGGACAAGUUGAUGCGCAAUGUUGAUAAUGAAGCUUCCUUGUCGGAAGUAUGCAUUGUAAAUGGAAGAUGUUGUAUUAGAACAACCGGGGAUAAGUCUUCGACUUUUGAUGGGUUACUGCUCUCCAGCGGAUCAGAUGCCGGAAGUAUGAUAGAACCAAUUGCUGCUGUUCCGUUGAACGAUGAGUUGCAGGAAUCAAGAGCUCUAGUGGCUAAAGCUGAACUGGAUGUCUUAUCAAAACUUACAGAUAAGAUUCUUCUUGAACUUGAUAGCAUUCAAAGUUCGCUGCAGGAAACAAUCAAACUUGAUAAGGUCACAGCUCGUGCAAAAUACAGUAUAGCAUAUGAUGGCACAUUUCCUGACCUGUACUUGUCGAACUUUGAGAACGAAACUGUUACUAGUGCUACAGGUGGGUCUGCCAAGGAAACUUCCUCAGCUCACCCCACUAAAAAGGCAUGGAAACUGUACAUGCCAAAUGCAUACCAUCCACUACUUCUCCAGAAAUACCAGGAAAAUCUCGACCGUGCGAAAAGGGAUGUUGCUAGUGCCGCAGCGGAGAUUCGGAGGAGGAGGAUAUACGGGCAAGAUAUUGCAGAAGAUCAACUGGCAUCAGACCUCGAUUCUAUGAAACUUAGGGUUUCCCAGCUGGAGAAAGACCAGCCAGUACCAGUAGAUUUUAUGAUUGGUGAAGAAACUACGGUUUUGGUCAUAACUGGCCCAAAUACAGGGGGUAAAACAAUCAGCUUAAAGACUGUUGGUCUGGCAUCGUUAAUGGCUAAGAUAGGUCUGUACAUUCUAGCUUCUGAACCAGUAAAAAUCCCAUGGUUCAACGCUGUUUAUGCUGACAUUGGAGACGAGCAAUCUUUGACCCAGUCACUCUCUACAUUUUCUGGGCAUCUGAAGCAGAUUGGUGCCAUUCGCGCAGAGUCAACUUCAGAGUCUUUGGUCCUUCUGGAUGAGGUAGGUGCUGGGACAAACCCACUUGAAGGAGCAGCUUUGGGGAUGUCUCUUUUGGAAUCUUUUGCUGAAGUUGGCUCCUUUCUGACAUUAGCAACAACUCAUCAUGGAGAACUUAAAACACUGAAAUACAGCAAUAACUCAUUUGAGAAUGCAUGCGUGGAAUUUGAUGAGGAGAAUUUAAAGCCCACCUUCAAAAUAUUAUGGGGAAUACCAGGCCGCUCAAAUGCAAUAAAUAUUGCUGAAAGGCUGGGUUUGCCCUCGGAUAUAGUGGAAAGCUCUAGGCGUUUACUUGGAACAGCUGGUGCAGAGAUAAAUGCUUUGAUAAUGGACAUGGAAAGAUUCAAACAAGAUUAUCAACAAGAUCUUCAGAAGGCACAACACCUUCUUAUUGUUGUGUCUUCUUCAGAGGUGGAACUUCUUAAGUCAAAUGAUAUCUUCUGCCCAUUAUUGAUGCUGUCUCAGGCAGUCCAAGGAGCUUCAUAAUAACUUGGAACUGGCACAAAGGAACAUUGUAGACCACACUUCCGCUCAGAGAAAACGGAAGGCGAGAGUAAUUUCAGAGUAUGCAGUUAUGGCCCGUUCUAUCAUUCGUAAGAAGUUUCAGCAGUUCCAGGAAUCCGCAAUAGCUGAAAGAGUAAAAGAAGAAGAGAAGGCUGCAGACAACGCCAAAUCUGAGAGAGUGAAGGAUCACAUGCCAACAAGUACUGCUGCCAUGGGAAAGGCACAUAAUACAGAUACCGACUUGGCCACAUCAGCUGACGAUGAAGAAGAUGGAAUUCCGGAAGUUGGAGAUUCAGUUUAUGUUCCUAAGCUCAAGAACCAAGCUACUGUAGUCAAAAUAGAUUUAUCCAAAAAUGAAGUGCAAGUUCAAGCCGGUAUGAUGAAGCUCAAACUAAAGCUGCAAGAUGUAAAGGUUCAGAAGUGGAAAGUAUCAAGAUAGCACAACUACACCAGUCCUGUGCUAGCGAGAUUCAGAUAAGUCGUAAGUGCAUGUGCUGUCUCAAUUCAGUUCCUAACAUUUCAUUAGCUACAACCUUUCAAAUGAAAAUGUUGACCACGAUUUGCAUGUAGCUUUGCUUCUUGGCAAACUAGCAGUUGUAAAAAAAACAUGAACACAGUUGCUGAACAGCUUCUGAGUUAUGAUUAUCAUAUGGGUAUGCAAUAUCUUAUCAUUAAGUACAAUUGUAGGUCAUUAGAAUGCUUCACACGGCACUCAAGUCUCAAAUGGUUUGUGGGGCGUGGAAAUUGCCGAAUCGUCCCCAUUGUAGAGAUAGUCUUUCUGAGCAGCACAUGAACUUGUGCCUUGUGUAGUUAUGUUCAAUCAUUUUUAUAGAAAUUGCUAUCAGUCA